AGAAAGAUAAGCUAAGUCUUAAGCUAAUAGGUUCAUACCCUAUCUAUGGUUACCCCUCUUUCUA
rnacentral:tRNA from 1 species